rnacentral:rRNA from 1 species
AUUGAACGCUGGCGGCAUGCUUUACACAUGCAAGUCGAACGGCCGCGCGGGCUUCGGCCUGGCGGCGAGUGGCGAACGGGUGAGUAAUACAUCGGAACGUGCCCAGUAGUGGGGGAUAGCUCGGCGAAAGCCGGAUUAAUACCGCAUACGACCUGAGGGUGAAAGCGGGGGAUCUUCGGACCUCGCGCUAUUGGAGCGGCCGAUGGCAGAUUAGCUAGUUGGUGGGGUAAAGGCCUACCAAGGCGACGAUCUGUAGCUGGUCUGAGAGGACGACCAGCCACACUGGGACUGAGACACGGCCCAGACUCCUACGGGAGGCAGCAGUGGGGAAUUUUGGACAAUGGGCGAAAGCCUGAUCCAGCAAUGCCGCGUGUGUGAUGAAGGCCUUCGGGUUGUAAAGCACUUUUGGCGGGAACGAAAAGGACUGUGCCAAUACCACGGUUCGAUGACGGUACCCGCAGAAUAAGCACCGGCUAACUACGUG